rnacentral:rRNA from 1 species
GACGAACGCUGGCGGCGUGCUUAACACAUGCAAGUCGAACGGAAAGGCCUCUUUCGGGGGGUACUCGAGUGGCGAACGGGUGAGUAACACGUGAGUAACCUGCCCUUGACUUUGGGAUAACUUCCGGAAACUGGGGCUAAUACCGGAUAGGAGCUCCUGCUGCAUGGUGGGGGUUGGAAAGUUUCGGCGGUUGGGGAUGGACUCGCGGCUUAUCAGCUUGUUGGUGGGGUAGUGGCUUACCAAGGCUUUGACGGGUAGCCGGCCUGAGAGGGUGACCGGCCACAUUGGGACUGAGAUACGGCCCAGACUCCUACGGGAGGCAGCAGUGGGGAAUAUUGCACAAUGGGUGGAAGCCUGAUGCAGCAACGCCGGGUGCGGGAUGACGGCCUUCGGGUUGGAAACCGCUUUCGCUCAUGACGAAGCUUUGUGUGACGGUAGUGGGUAAAGAAGCACCGGCUAACUACGUG